UACAGAGGGGGCAAGCGUUGUUCGGAAUCACUGGGUGUAAAGGGUGCGUAGGCGGUUUGUUAAGUUGGAUGUGAAAACUGUGGGCUUAACCCAUAGCCUGCAUCCAAAACUAGCAGGCUAGAGUUCUGGAGGGGAUAGCGGAAUUCCUGGUGUAGCGGUGAAAUGCGUAGAUAUCAGGAGGAACACCGGUGGCGAAGGCGGCUAUCUGGACAGAGUCUGACGCUGAGGCGCGAAAGCUAGGGGAGCAAACAGG
rnacentral:rRNA from 1 species